UGCAAGUCGAGCGGAGUUGAUCGACGGAAGCCUUCGGGCGGAAGAUGAUUAACUUAGCGGCGGAUGGGUGAGUAACGCGUGGGCAACCUGCCUCGAAGACCGGGAUAACAGUUCGAAAGGGCUGCUAAUACCGGAUGUGGUCAAGUGUCAGCAUGGGCAUUUGAUUAAAGGGGAAACCCGUUUCGAGAUGGGCCCGCGUCCUAUCAGCUAGUUGGUGAGGUAAAGGCUCACCAAGGCAAUGACGGGUAGCCGGCCUGAGAGGGUGACCGGCCACACUGGAACUGAGACACGGUCCAGACUCCUACGGGGGGCAGCAGUGGGGAAUCUUCCACAAUGGGCGAAAGCCUGAUGGAGCGACGCCGCGUGAGCGAAGAAGGCCUUCGGGUUGUAAAGCUCUGUCUGGAGGGACGAAGAAAGUGACGGUACCUCCGGAGGAAGCCACGGCUAACUACGUGCCAGCAGCCGCGGUAAUACGUAGGUGGCGAGCGUUGUCCGGAAUCACUGGGCGUAAAGGGCGCGCAGGCGGCGUGUCAAGUCGGACGUGAAAACCCCUGGCUCAACUGGGGGAUGUCGUUCGAAACUGGCAUGCU
rnacentral:rRNA from 1 species